rnacentral:lncRNA from 1 species
CUCCCUGUAGGUUGUCUCCCCACAGAACAGCAGCCGCUGCCACUGCAGAGUGCCACAGAAUGGACCAAAGACAAAGGCCAAGGUGGAGGAUAAAAUCGUCUCCACCCCUGCUUGCCUGGGGCCUCAGCUGAGCAUCAUUGUUGGAAUAACUCAACCAAUGUUGAUGUGAUACCACUGGCAGCUCUUCCUUGGGUCUGAAAAAUCUGUGGCAAACAAGCUUCCUAACACGAACUUAUCUCCUCAGUGCUCACGGUUAAAACAAGUUUUCCCAAAAAAUUAAUGAGUAUUUCCAUAAGGGAUGAAAAUAUUUUAAAAACUUGAAUCACACUUCAAGACAAAAGCCUGAAGAUGGAGCUUUGAGUCCUGACUCCCUGCCUGAGGUUCUCAUCUGUGGAAUGUUCCAGCAGUUGCAUCCAUCUUCCUGUUUUCUGUAUGGUUGCUUGUCCCCUAAGUGAACACAUUUACCUCUUCUACAGAAAGUCCUGGAUUGAAAGAAGCUGUUUUGGGGGACCUGAGCUGUCACCACUUGUUUCCUCAGAGAGAUUUGGCAGAAGGGGUGGCUGUGUAGCCCUGUCCUCCCCCUGCUCCUCAGCAAAACCUUCUGGGAGAGGCUUUCCCCAGGGAAGGAGGAGGAAUGCUCUUCCCGCGAGGGUGGCAAACGGCAGCCGAGCCUCCUGGUUAGAGCUUCCAACAAACUCUCAGUGCCCAACUGUGGGGGAUUUCUUCAAGGCAAAACAGAAACAGUUAAUUCAGAAAUCUCUGUGCUUUUAUGCUGAUUUUGUUACUUAAGUUGCUUUAAUACCUGUAUGAAAGCAGAAUAUAAAAUUAGCAAAUGGACUUUUCUAAAUCAUUUCAUUUUCUUUCAAAAAUAACUUAAAAAAUUUUUUUUUUACCUGAAGUGAUCAACAUUGUACGUUCUGAAAGUGUAAAGGGACUGAAAAGACAGGCUGAAAAAUAAAGUAAGAAGAAGAUUGUACAACAUUUCUAGCUGCCUUUUUUUCCUUUGAUAAGGGAACCCAUGCAGUCAGCUAAGAGCUGCCACCAAGAUCAAGGCCCUGCAGGGCACCGAUGAGCAGGAUCACCGGGAGCGCUGUGUUUACAGGGAUUUCAUUUUUCAUUUUGAAGGGUUGCCACGUCACUUUCCCAAGUUUUGCGGGGCAGAGUGAGGCUUCAUCAAGACAUGCAUCCAUGGACUGGGCGAAAUUCCAGUGUCCAUUAUUUCCUGGGGAAAGCGUGUAAGAGGCUCUCUCUAUCGCUCUUCUUACUUCUGCAUCCCCCAGAACACACAUACACAGUCACAGUCACACAUGUUUGCACCAAACACGGCCUCACUCUCACAAGACACUCACGAAGGUACGUUGACAGUCUCACAGGGUCACAAACAUGCACUAGAAAUCUGACACACACACACACACAUCCAAUCUCUCUCUGACACACACACACUAUCUCACACACACAUGCUCCUCUGCUCUGCUGAGUCAUCAGUCUUGGAUCUCAGCCUCAGCACGUGUGGGGCCUGCCCUGUGGGAGGCUGUUGAACACAGAGGGAAGCUGAGGUUGCACUGUCCACCUCCUCAUUACCAUAAUGAUUGCGUUCAGCAUCCUUCAUCAGCACAGGAGCACUAAGGGUUGGAGAGGACGUGCAUCACCUUUACUCGCACAGCUGCUCACAUCGGGCACUUGAGACGUGUAUUUGCUGGGACACUUGGGAGUGAAAUGGCUUGUGGAAUUUAGUCUCGUGUCAGUCUUCAGCUUUAAGUUUCAAGCGAUCCUGCUCUGGGAAUAAAUAUUGAGUACGACGUAGAAAACAGCUUUUCUUCAAGGACCUCUGAAAGCCAUGUAAGCACCAUUCUUUGAUAAACAUUCUCAUCCCAACUGAUGGAGGGAAAAGCCAGGAACAGGGUCCCAGGGAGGCCAAAGGGGUUCCCGACUGGGAAUGAGAAGCCAUCCCUUCAGGACUCUGCUGUGCCCCGACAGCAGGCACAGGAGGCGUGGUCCCUGCCUUUCCCCCACCUCACCUGCCCUUUCCCGCUGGAGUAAAUGGGAAGAGAGCUCUGCUCAAGCCUCAGCCUCCAGGACUCUCCAUCAUACCAGCUGCCUCAGGCAAAUUAAGCACAGCAAAUGCUGCUCUGUUCAGGGCUCCUCCCUGUUUAUUGCAAGACGGUGGUUCUCAAACCUGACCUUCUGGGACACUUAACGAUUACCCUUGACUUUUGAAUCUCUCCAUGAUAUCUGAUAACAGUCGAGUGUGGAUUUCUUGGUGAAGUGAGGUCUCUCCCUCCACCUUUGCCCAUGGAAUUGAGUGACGGUCACCCCUCAUUGACUCUGCGGAGAGCUGGUGCCUCCUACAGCAGAACAAGCAGGAAAUAGCGCAGCAGAGAGCAUCUUACAAGCCAGAGGGGCAGCAGAGGCAGCACGGGGCAGAGCUGGGCGGUGAGGAAACUGAGCAUCAGCUGCUGGAGCAGCUGCCGUGAGGGAACUGGCUGGGUUUAUCUCAAGAGGCUGUGCUGCUGGGGCCGACCAUUGGUGGGAGGUCCCAUGCUCACCGGGACAUAAGGCCGCCUGUGCACGAACCGUGUGGCAGCUGGCGUCCUUUGUUUCAACAAACAGAACUGCAUUUCCAACUAAAAAACCCAAGUGUGAAAUUUGUAGACACCGUGUAUCAGAGGGAAGAACUUGAGAAGAUUAACUAAACUUCUGGAACCUCAACCGCUCUCCCUUGUGCACCUCACGCCUCGAUGAGAUGAUGAAAUGUGAUACCGCGCAUAUCGAUGGUGGGAAAAAUGUUACGUGUCAUUCAGAGCAUUUGUCAGACGUUUAUUAAAGUCUCGUUUCAGGUUUGGAGGGUACUAUUUAGAAGUCUUAAUUUCCGAAUUGGAUCCUAUAAUUAUCUCAGGGUUUAAUAACACGUCAAAAGCAUAGCAGAGAAGGGAAAAAGAGUAUAAUUUUGCCUGCUCAUAUGAGGAACUAUUUAUUGAUUUCCCUUGGGGUCCUGAGCAGAAGGAGCUGUGUUAAGAAAUACUUUGGCUCGAAGUACCCAGCUGUGUAAGUGGUUUUGGGUGUGGACUCUUACGGCCAUGGUCCUAAAUGAUUCAAAUUGUAAGGUGGCAGGCAGAAGUCACACUUUUCUGAUAAAUGUUAAACUUA